rnacentral:rRNA from 1 species
GCUAACACAGCACACCAUCAAUGGCUAACAAUUUUAAGUUGGGGCGACUUCGGAACUAAGAAAAACUUCCGAGCAUAAAGAGUACUACUCUAACCUAGACCAACAAGUCAAAGCAAAUAUUGACCCAGUACCACUGAUCAACGAACCAAGUUACCCCAGGGAUAACAGCGCUAUCUUCUUCAAGAGUCCAUAUCGACAAGAAGGUUUACGACCUCGAUGUUGGAUCAGGACACCCAAAUGGUGCAGCAGCUAUUAAAGGUUCGUUUGUUCAACGAUUAACAGUCCU